AGAGUUUGAUCCUGGCUCAGGACGAACGCUGGCGGCGUGCCUAACACAUGCAAGUCGAACGGAGAUAUUAAUGAAGCUUGCGAUUUAAUAUCUUAGUGGCGGACGGGUGAGUAACGCGUGGGUAAUCUGCCCAUAAGUGGGGGACAACAGUUGGAAACGACUGCUAAUACCGCAUAUCCUGAUUUAUUAGGAAAGAUGGCCUCUGAAUAUGCUGUCGCUUAUGGAUGAGCCCGCGUCUGAUUAGCUAGUUGGUGGGGCAAUGGCCUACCAAGGCGACGAUCAGUAGCCGGCCUGAGAGGGUGAAUGGCCACACUGGGACUGAGACACGGCCCAGACUCCUACGGGAGGCAGCAGUGGGGAAUAUUGCGCAAUGGGGGAAACCCUGACGCAGCGACGCCGCGUGAGCGAUGAAGGCCUUAGGGUUGUAAAGCUCUGUUUUAGGGGACGAAUGUCUAGAUCAGUAAUAUGGGUUUAGAAUGACGGUACCCUAAGAGGAAGCCCCGGCUAACAACGUGCCAGCAGCCGCGGUAAGACGUAGGGGGCGAGCGUUGUCCGGAAUUACUGGGCGUAAAGAGCACGUAGGCGGAGACUUAAGUCAGGUGUGAAAGACCGGGGCUCAACCCCGGGGUGGCACUUGAAACUGGGUCCCUUGAGGGCAGGAGAGGGCAGUAGAAUUCCUGGUGUAGCGGUGAAAUGCGUAGAAAUCAGGAGGAAUACCGGUGGCGAAGGCGACUGCCUGGACUGACCCUGACGCUGAGGUGCGAAAGCGUGGGUAGCAAACAGGAUUAGAUACCCUGGUAGUCCACGCCGUAAACGAUGGAUACUAGG
rnacentral:rRNA from 1 species